rnacentral:tRNA from 1 species
GGGGAUAUAGCUCAGCUGGUAGAGUAUGUACCUUACAUGAAUAAGGUCCUGGGUUCAAUCCCCAGCACCACUA